rnacentral:rRNA from 1 species
UACGAAGGGGGCUAGCGUUGUUCGGAAUCACUGGGCGUAAAGCGCACGCAGGCGGAUUGAUAAGUCAGGGGUGAAAUCCUGGAGCUCAACUCCAGAACUGCCUUUGAUACUGGCGAUCUUGAGUCCGGGAGAGGUGAGUGGAACUGCGAGUGUAGAGGUGAAAUUCGUAGAUAUUCGCAAGAACACCAGUGGCGAAGGCGGCUCACUGGCCCGGUACUGACGCUGAGGUGCGAAAGCGUGGGGAGCAAACAGG